UACGUAGGGGGCAAGCGUUGUCCGGAUUUAUUGGGCGUAAAGAGCGUGUAGGCGGUUAGGUAGGUCCGUUGUGAAAACUCGAGGCUCAACCUCGAGACGCCGAUGGAAACCAUCUGACUAGAGUCCGGAAGAGGAGAGUGGAAUUCCUGGUGUAGCGGUGAAAUGCGCAGAUAUCAGGAAGAACACCAGUGGCUAAGGCGGCUCUCUAGUACGUGACUGACGCUGAGACGCGAAAGCGUGGGGAGCGAACAGG
rnacentral:rRNA from 1 species